UAGCGUAGGGUGCAAGCGUUAAUCGGAAUUACUAGGGCGUAAACGUGCGCAGGCGGUUAUGUAAGACAGAUGUGAAAUCCCCGGGCUCAACCUGGGAACUGCAUUUGUGACUGCAUAGCUAGAGUACGGUAGAGGGGGGAUGGAAUUCCGCGUGUAGCAGUGAAAUGCGUAGAUAUGCGGAGGAACACCGAUGGCGAAGGCAAUCCCCUGGACCUGUACUGACGCUCAUGCACGAAAGCGUGGGGAGCAAACAGG
rnacentral:rRNA from 1 species